AAUAUGGACCCCAUAUUAAACACCAACCAGUAUUAAAAAAAAAAAAGAGAAGAAAAAAAAGUGGAACCCACCACCUCCAAACUCACAGAAAAAAAAAGUGAACCCAUAUUAAUAAAAUCAAGCAAUAUUAAAAAAAAAAAGUGAAUCCCAUAUUAAAAAAACAAACAAUAUUAAAAAAAAAAAUGCUUAGAAAAUCAAACAAUUAAAUCAAUAAUGAUGGAUUCAUUCACACACGCGUAUCAACCCAUUAGUGGGAGCACAUGAAAUUAUUAUACAAUGAACAUACUUAAAAUACUUAUAUAUUAAAAUAAGAUAGAAUUUAAUUACUUUUUCAUUUUUCCUUACUCUAAUAAAUGUGAAAAGAGAUUAAUGUCAUAAAAGAAAAAAUAAUAUUAAAUAGAGAUCAAAUAAUUAAUAAGGUAAAUUAGUGAAAUUCUAAUUCUAAUU